rnacentral:misc_RNA from 1 species
GAUGAAGAACGCAGCGAAAUGCGAUAAGUAAUGUGAAUUGCAGAAUUCAGUGAAUCAUCGAAUCUUUGAACGCACAUUGCGCCCUUUGGUAUUCCGAAGGGCAUGUCUGUUCGAGCGUCAUUUCACCACUCAAGCCUGGCUUGGUAUUGGGCGCCGCGGUCGAUCCGCGCGCCUCAAAGUCUCCGGCUGAGCUGUCCGUCUCUAAGCGUUGUGAUUUCAUUAAUCGCUUCGGAGUGCGGGCGGCCGCGGCCGUUAAAUCUUUCACAAGGUUGACCUCGGAUCAGGUAGGGAUACCCGCUGAACUUAAGCAUAUCAAUAAGCGGAGGA